rnacentral:rRNA from 1 species
UACGUAGGCUGAAAAUUAAGUCAGUAGUGAAAUCCUGCAGCUUAACUGUAGAACUGUUAUUGAUACUGGUUCUCUUGAAUAUAGUUGAGGUAGGCGGAAUGUGUAAUGUAGCGGUGAAAUGCUUAGAUAUUACACAGAACACCGAUUGCGAAGGCAGCUUACUAAGCUAUGAUUGACGCUGAGGUACGAAAGCGUGGGGAGCGAACAGGAUUAGAUACCCUGGUAGUCC